AACCGGAAGCAGACAGUAGCUAGCAGAAUGUAAAACAAACAAAGAAGAAAGAAAGAAGGAAGACACGAGAUAACUCACCCCGUGUGAUGAGUGUGAGUACAGGAGCUGCUGCUGCUGACUGCCAUGACGUCAACACAUGGCAGCCAGAGGAGGCUGGGUGGAGCUGCCUGUGACCAGAGAUGGAGACACGAGGAAUUGCUGCCAACUGUCAUGAAGUCAACACAUUGGAGCAUAAUGAGACUGCAUGGAGCUGCCUUUGGAUCAGAGAUGGAAACACAAGUCCAGCAUCUCAAAGUGGAAGGAUGCUGUGGACUUCAUCAGGCUUCUCCCUCCCUCAAGCAGGACUAUGGGCACACCGCCCUGGAGGCUCACGCCUGGAGAUGGGAGAGUUCAGGGACGUGUUAAGGCAGGAAGAGCUAUUGUGAACAAGAAGAAGAAGAAGAAGAAAAUGCAUCCUGCCAGCAGGAGGUUUCCCUUCACAAUGGAUGGAAGAACUCCAACCUGAGAGCUGGCAGACUCGGAACACCCUGCCAGCCCGACAGCAGCAUCAGCAGCAGCAGCAGCCACUGGUACAGAUGCGGGUCACAAACUAAGUUCAGCUGGACCUCCACCUGCUGCACAUCUCUCCUGUCCUUGAUCCCUGAGCUGCAGCAGUACGACCUGAAUUGACCCAAUGAGGGGAAACACACUGCCAUUUGUUUUGGCUCAAUGUCAAACUAGAAUCCUGCCUGACAGGGGACGUUAUUCACCAUGACAAAGAUUCCAUCUGGGGACCCGGCCGCCGGCGUGCAGGCUGUCACACAGAUUGACGAGGAUGUCAGACGUGAUGGUCAACAUUGUUGCAGCAUGAACGUUGUUGACCGCUGUGCACCCUGGGAAGACCUCCCACAGCUCCACUGCUGUGUUGUGGGUUUAUUGCUGGUGAGCAGCACAGGAGGAAGUCUGCAUUAAUCCUCAAAUAAAUUUAAGGCUUUACUGUCAUCGCCACAAAAAACGGGUCCCAGACACACACACACUGUAGUAAAUAUGCACAAUCACUAUCAUAUAUAUUUCUAAUAGUCCCUGUCAUGGCAGCCAACUGUUUGGGUAAUCCCUUUGAGUCUGCGCGGCCGCUGUACAUCACAGUAAUGGCUUCUACUGAGGCUGUUUUGCAGAGGUGACUGGAAUGGGUUGACGGUGCCUGUGGAUUCCUCCUGAAGGGAUUGCAGUUUAUGUGAUUGCCUUGCAUCAUCAGAGGCCACAGCUCAUCUCAAAUAUCCCCCUGUUCUCUGUGCUCCUGUCAGCCAGCAGCCGCUCCCCGGGCUUGGUUACGUGGACGUUUUUGUUAAAUGUGCUAAAUAACGGAUUGAGGUUAUUUCUAUUGCCUCCCUACGUGGAGUCCUGGGUGUUCCAAUAAGCCUUAUUUUUAAUAAACAAAGUUUAUGAAUUAAAGAACCAGCCUUAAUCAACAGAUUUGGUGUUAGCCAGACCUAGCGGAUCCUACAGGUAAACUACUUUUUGUACUUUUUCAUUUCACUGA